AUUGAACGCUGGCGGCAGGCUUAACACAUGCAAGUCGAGCGGGGGAAGGUAGCUUGCUACCGGACCUAGCGGCGGACGGGGGAGUAAUGCUUAGGAAUCUGCCCAUUAGUGGGGGACAACAUCUCGAAAGGGAUGCUAAUACCGCAUACGUCCUACGGGAGAAGCGGGGGAUCUUCGGACCUUGCGCUAAUAGAUGCGCCUAAGUCGGAUUAGCUAGUUGGUGGGGUAAAGGCCUACCAAGGCGACGAUCUGUAGCGGGUCUGAGAGGAUGAUCCGCCACACUGGGACUGAGACACGGCCCAGACUCCUACGGGAGGCAGCAGUGGGGAAUAUUGGACAAUGGGGGGAACCCUGAUCCAGCCAUGCCGCGUGUGUGAAGAAGGCCUUAUGGUUGUAAAGCACUUUAAGCGAGGAGGAGGCUACUCUAGUUAAUACCUAGGGAUAGUGGACGUUACUCGCAGAAUAAGCACCGGCUAACUCUGUGCCAGCCGCCGCCGUAAAAC
rnacentral:rRNA from 1 species